UGCGCAGGCGGACUUUUAAGUCAGUGGUGAAAUCCCGAGGCUCAACCUCGGAACUGCCAUUGAUACUGGUAGUCUUGAAUUUGGUUGAAGUGGGCGGAAUGUAGCAUGUAGCGGUGAAAUGCUUAGAUAUGCUACAGAACACCGAUCGCGAAGGCAGCUCACUAAGCCAAUAUUGACGCUCAGGCACGAAAGCGUGGGGAGCAAACAGGAUUAGAUACCCUGGUAGUCC
rnacentral:rRNA from 1 species